GUCACGUUGUAUGUGAGAACCCUCGAACACCUUUAUCUCUAAAAUAUUCAUCACUGAGAACCCUUCAUCAUUGAGAACCUUUAUCACUGAGAACCUUUGUAACCCUCUCUCCCAGCCUUCUAUCGCACCCUCUAUUACAACCCUCUUCUCUAUCACAAUCCUUGGACCCUCUAUUGCAAGCCUCCUCCUUGGAUUCGCAACCCUCGCACCCUCUCUCGCAACCCUCCAUAGACGCUGCCUCUGUCGGCACGCCCUCCCUAGGCGGUCACUCUCUCUCGCAAGCCCUACCACUGUCUUUGCUCUCUCUCUCGUCGCUGCCUCUCCCUCAAUCGGUGUUGCGUCUCCACAAACACUACAAUGUGCUUUUAUUGGAGAAUCAACAAAUAUUAGAUUAGUAAACCUCUAGGACUUGAGCAAAAGAGACAGUUUCAUCCUCUUCUUGAAUAUGGCAAUAAAACCAACAAUUGUAUUAAGGGUUAUACUUGUUGGAGGGGAUGCAGCAUUCGCUAAAAUAGCCAGUGCAAUGAAGGCCACAAAUGGUGUAAAAAUGGGCGCAGCUGCGGAUGCAAUGAAAAUAGGCCAGCAGUAGCAACCACAGUUGUGGCAGAAUCAAAACAAGAAAAAAAGAUGCUCCUCAACAAUCUCCAAAAUAAUGUAUUUUUAUCUACUUUUGGAUUUCUUUAUGUAAAUUAGUUGAAUCUUUCCCAAGUUUUAUGGGAACAAAGAGAGCCAUUUGCGCGGAUUGUGAUAUUGACAAAUAGUGAAUAUAAUAACCACUUCAAAUAUUCUAUUAGAUAUGGAAUCAUGAAGUCUUAGAUGAAGUUGUACACUCAGCU